rnacentral:lncRNA from 1 species
ACUCCGGAAACGCAGCCUCCCCGGCUGCGGCGCAGGGCCCCCGGACCCUGCGGAACCUGGGCUGAAGCGAAAAAGCCAGCGGAAGGAACCCGGGAAAAAACAAGAAACCCAUUCCAUCCUCCUUUCCAGGCCUUCGCCCGCCCGAGACCCGCCGUCUCCCGGAGUUCUCGGGGAUAACGGGCUCAGCUGCGAAGUUCUUCCUUGAGCAUCUGAAUUUGGUUGUGGUCAGAUGGUGGAUAAAGCUGGACUUAUCUGAAUCUUCUUUCGUCACAUGUCUGGAGUGUCUGGAGUGGCUGGAAAACAGCUUCCUCACAAGUUGGCCAAGUGGCUGGAAGUCCACCUACAAUGGGCAUGCCGUCCUGGAACAUCUCUCUUCUCUAUCUUGGAUUCGGUUCUAUGACGGAGUCUUACUGUAGCACCCAGGCUGGAGUGCAGGAGCACGACCUCGGCUUACUGCAACCUCGACCUCCUGGACUCAAGUGAUUCUCCUGCCUCAGCCUCCCAAGUUGCUGGGAUUACAGGCUCACGUCACCACACCUGGUCCCCCUAUGUUAUUGGGGACAGAAUUGUGCCCAGACAAGAAAAUGAUGUUUCCCAGCCUCCCCUGCAGCUGAGUGGGGACAACCAUUGAGAUCAUCCCUGGCUCUCAAGGUGACCUGCAGGGACCAGGACCAGCAGCAGCAUCGGGAUCCUGAUAGAAAUGCAGAUUCUCAGGUCCUACCCCAGCCUUAUUCAGAAACUCUGGGCCCAGAAUUCCCUCCAGGGGAUUCUGAUGCAUGCUCCAGUGUGAGCAUUUGCAUAGCUCUCUAAAGUCUUUCCCCUGAUUGCUUAGAGCGCAUCUUUCCUCCUUGCUAACGCCCUCAAUCAGGGGUAGUCAUAGACCUGAGCAGCCUCUGCAGUUGGAAAGGUGGGCCUGGCAGGCCCUGUGGGAUCUCAGCCCUGCUAGGUAAGCCGUGGAGCUCUUCCUGGUCAGGGAGAGUGUGCAUGGGGGUCACUAGCCCCAUAGGAAACUAGAGAGAUGGAGACAGACUUAAACAGCAC